rnacentral:rRNA from 1 species
GGGAUAGCCCAGGGAAACCUGGAUUAAUACCGGAUGAGACGGGACCCGCGAUGGCGGGACCCGGGAAAGCGCUGCGGCGCCGCCGGGGAUGAGUCUGCGUCCCAUUAGCUAGACGGCGGGGUAACGGCCCACCGUGGCGACGAUGGGUAGCCGGCCUGAGAGGGUGGACGGCCACAUUGGAACUGAGACACGGUCCAGACUCCUACGGGAGGCAGCAGCUAAGAAUCUUCCGCGAAUGGGCGAAAGCCUGACGGAGCGACGCCGCGUGAACGAAGAAGGCCGUGAGGUUGUAAAGUUCUUUUCGGGAGGGGGAACAACCGUGGCAGGGAAUGGCCGCGGGAUGACGUGAAUCCCGGAAUAAGCCCCGGCUAACUACGUGCCAGCAGCAGC